CUGACUUGAUUGCAGAUCUACCUGCCAUGGACACCACGGCCGUGUUCCUGCUGUGGGAGGCUUCCAGGCAAGGCUCAGGCCUACAGGGUGAGGCUGGGCCUACCAAGGAGGAGUGCUUGCAAAACCCCAGCCACAGAUAAUCACCGGGGAGCUCGAUAACACCCACCUCGAGUCGUUACCUAAGGACUGAAGGCAGGCCCAGAGCUGUGCGCUGGACGGCGUCGUGCUCUGCUCUGCGGGAAGGCAAGCUGAAGGUGCACAGAGAAGAAGGCUGAUUGCUGGGCCAUUGGUGGGGGCAGCUGCUUUGCCUGCACACCUGGUGCCACUUUGUGGGGCUCUGGGUCCCACUUUGGGUCAGUUUGCAGCAAGGUGGCUCCAUGGGCAGGGUGCCUGGAACUUCCCUCUCCCUGUGUACGGAGGCUGGAGGCACAGACAGAGGGAAUGGAAGCACGAGGCUCUGCCUUUUCCGGAUGGUGGAGCUGUGACCUGUGCGCUCCUCCUGGGCUCUUCCCCCCAGCGCAGACUUCGUCAGCAGCGUCCCACGGGAGCCCUCCAUCUGCCCUCGCCACAUGCUGCAAAUGUGACCAUCGGCUUUAACCUCCUCCUGCUCUGAGUAAGUGUUUAUUGACUGAAAAAUGCUCGCCUGCAGGCUUGGUGCCAUGGUCCAUAGCCAGGAUGGUGCCUGGACCAGCUGAGGGGUGCUGGUGGCUCCUUCCCCCAUAGGCUGAGCAGGUGAGGGGACAGGAGCUGCUUCUCUUGAUGCUGCUGCCCCACGGAAGGGUCAAACAAAGCAGCAGAAAUGGAGGCCACUGAAGGGUUUAACCCUCAAGGCAGGCAUAGCCCAUGCAGCUCUGGCUUCUCGGGUGAGCAGUGGUCCUGGUCCGCUCGUGCCAACGGCCACACUGCUAGACCUAACCCAGGGGGAUGCGUGUACCGGUGGCACUGCGGCUACUUGGCUAAAAGCUCUCCAAAUGAGGUUGUUUCUUUGCGACUGCAUGUUUGGCUUGUACAGGUGGCCUAUUUUUAGAAAGAGCAUAAGCACAGCAGAGGGAGAGCAACCUGCCACCUGGCUGCGUGUGCCAGGGAAAAGGGUUUUUGCAGUCGCUGCGUUACACGGAGCAGCUGCUUUGUUCAUUGCCCGCUCCCAACAACAAACAGGUUUGCAGUCAGGCCUUUCAGACAAUCUUCCUUUAAUACAAAGUCAAUAUAUCUACAUACACAGUGGUAUGAAAACCACUUACUGUUUCAGUUUGAAAUAACAGUGUGAAAGCAACAGCACUUUGCUCUCAUACAAAGGAAAAAAACCUCCCUCCCUCCCCCCAACUCUUCCAGUAAGGUUUUGCUGCAACAUACUUAGAAAUUUGGGCAACUUUCACACAGAUAAGAAGUUAAAUCUUGAAGAAGCCUUUCGUUCUUUUUUUUUUUUUUUUUCAGUUAAAGACAGGAAAUGGAUUGUUGUGGGGUUUUCUGGGUAGCACUUGAUGGCAAUGAUAAACCCUUCUAGAAAAAUAAAAAAAGUCCCAGGCAAGCAGUGUUCAGGGCAGUGCAUCUUUUCCGAGACGUGCUCUCUCCUCUGCCACUUCUGCAAGAAAACUCCUUGUCACGUACACCUGUAAGCGCUUCGUAUCUACCACCCAGGGCCCAGACAGAGUUGGGCUGGUACCUGCAUUACACCACUGAUGUUUGUAAUCUGUGUAUGUGCCGAUGUGUGCCACGGCUCUGAAACUGCCCUCGUUUUGUCUUCAGUUGUAAGACCCUGGUGUGUUUUAUUCUCCCAGUUCAGCCCUGGCCUUGUUAGGACGGAGCAGCAGGGCCACAGCUGAAGGGGAGAGGUUGGCACUGCCACCGCAUCUCGGCCUGCCUGCUGAUCUCCCACCCUUCCAAAGACAUGUGAUAUGCCUGCGAUUUUAAAACAAAAGAACCCCAAAAAAAUCCAGAAAGGACAUUUUGUUUUUACAUGAGCAAGUUAAACCUUUUAAAUGGUAGAAAAGCAAUAUGUAGAAGUAGCAAUUUGCACUGCAUUUUUAUAUAUCACAGCCAUUACACGUAACAUUUCUACAGUGAAAAAAUAGACUGUCUUUGAACAUAAUAUGAACAAAUAAGCAAAUUUUUCUUUUAAAUUCAUUGACUGAUAUUCUUUGUCUUUUUUUUUAAAAAAAAAAAAAAGGAAAAAAUACACUAUUUAAAAAAAAGGUAAUGUCACUUGUUACAGUUACAUCGAUACUUUAAAGAAAGCCACUCACAGUAUAUGCCAUUGAUCUCACUUGAUCUUUCCCAGUUAUUUAUACAGCUAGGGCAUGUUCGUAGCUGUGCCAAUGAGCUUGGUCUGAUGUGGUACCGGGACAGUCCUGAGGAGUAUCGCUGCAUCGCGCCCGGAGAGCUGCUGUGUCCGGAGGUGAGGGGUUGGCAGCAAGAAGCAGUUGGCUAGUGGAAAUAAAUUUCUUAAGGAUGCUUCUCAGGCUCCUUCCAGAGAGAUGCUCCUGGCCUUCUGUGGCAGGAACUGGUGGGGCGGCACAGCUCCUUGCAGCAGAAGUGGGGUUGUGUGAAUGUGCAAAGAGAAUGGGAAAGGGGCUGCCUUUCUGUACUGGGGUGUCCCACUGCUGCCCAAUUAAUGCCUCUGUGUAGCUGGAUGUGCUGAAAAGGGGGAGCAGAACCAGCAGCCAGCGAACCCAGCCCAGGGGAGCUGCCACCUCUACCUGUCCCACCUGUGUGCAAGGGGAGGGGGCCACACCACACAGCCAGGUCUGGGUUCUCUCUCUCUGUCUCUCUCUAAUUUUAAAUAUCCUAAAAAAUAAAUUUUGGAAUUAGAAGAAAUGAGGAAUGUUCCAAGUAUUCAAAGUGUGAGCUAUAAAACCUCUCGCGUGGCAGGGGCAUUCAGUGAAUGCUGCUUGCAAGGUGCCUGUAAGCCCAGAAUCAUCCCAAUGUUGAUACUGAGGUUAUUAAGACUCCAGCUAGAAGAACUCCUGACCCUACGUUUGUCUAAGUGUUGAGAUUUAGUUCCUUUUCUUAUCUUUUACAGAACACCUUCAAUUCUGCAAGUGACUUCCUUUAAAGACUGCCAACUAUAUUAGUAAAUAAACUGAACUCUAAUGAUGUAACCAAAGUCGGUUUCCUUCCCUUCUCCAGCGGUAACGUUUCGCAAGGUGUGUUUUAGCUUUUGGAUCUGUUUCAUGAUGUCCAUACAUCUUCCACAGCGAACACCACUUGAGGUAACAAGAGCAGUUCACCACUUAAAGCAGUCCUUCAGCAAUCUCCUGAGCUGCCUCUUCACGGUCCAGGUUACAACAUGGAGUUCCUGAAGGGGUGUUCCUUUCAAUCCUUCCCCCUGCUCCCCAAUGCAUUGUCCAGAUGAAAAGGUACUUCUUCUGAUUCAGUUUUGUAAGUUCAAGCGCUCCUCCUGGGUCAAAAGAGGCCUUCCAGGACUUAAGUGGUUGGUAAAGUCUGCACAACGGAUGGCUUUUUAUGUUGCAUAGUGAUCAAAACUUCCCAGAUAUUCCAAAGCUGCCUGGUAACAGAACUGGUAUUCAUCCUGCAAGCAGUAAAGAAAAACAGUGCUUCAGCUUCAGAGGUUGAAAUUCAGAGGUUGAAACAGCCGCUCUACAGUUCCCUGCCCCACUUCCAGCUAGUGCACACCUGGGCAGGAACCCUGCACAGACCCUUUUAUUCUCAAAGAGCUGUGAGCUACUGGGAAAGGAAAUCCCUUUUCCUUAUUGUCAUGCAUCUCAUAGACAGCAGGCAUCCUGCCAAUAGUUUUCCCCUCUCUGCAGCAAAAAAAAAAAAAAAAGUGGGCUAUGUUUAGAAGCAGGUGAGUUCCCCUUAUCUCAGAGGCAGGAUGAGAUAAGAAUCAAGGCUGGCAGACUGGGGUGAAAUCUUUAAGAAAUUUAAAGGCCCAUGGUUGUUGUUAUUAUUACUUAGUAAAGUGAACCAAUAGUGCAGCCUGGGCUUGCUUAUCCUUCAGGUAAGGUUUUACUAAUGGUUAGAAGGGCAAGAAGUCUGCUGCACUCAGCCAGGGCAUUUAGGGAAUUGGCCUGCAAAGGUCCGGGACUUGCUACUCAGGUCCUGUAAACAGUGAUAAAGAAAGGGCUUGCUGCUCCCCCUUACCUCUGUUUGCACCAUAGCAGGUCGUUGCGUUCGCAGCAUCUUUACUGUCUGGAAAAUAUCUACAACACCCUCAUAGCGCAUUCUUUCCAGGACGAUACUCAGUGUGAUAAACACUCCAGUCCUGCCCACACCAGCACUGCAGCAAUGGGAGAUGAAAAACACCAAAAAAUGGUGAAGGUGAAUCCAGAUCACACUGUUAUGAGCUGUAAGCAAGAAAGAAUUUCCCUCUAAACGUGUACUGUGUGCAGUACAGGUAGGUGAUGGGACAGAACAGACCGGUGUUAUCACCUAGUCCUAAUCACCUAAUCCCUUAGUGCUGCAUCCUCAGAAAGCAGCCUGCUGGGUUAAGUUCACCCCCUGAUGGUGGUGAGGGCAGCCAGGUGCUGGUUACCUGUAGCCAUCAAUAAAGCUGGCGUUGAUGUAGUCUGACCCUUCCACUCCCCUGAUGGGCUGAAGGCAGACCCGCGUCGUCUCAUAUGGCAUGAUGUUGACAAGGCGAUUCUUGAAUUUGUUGCAUGGGAGAUUGGCACUGAUGAACCUGGAGGUGUGGGCUUUGGAGUUGGCGAGUCGCU